UACGAAGGGGCUAGCGUUGCUCGGAAUCACUGGGCGUAAAGCGCACGUAGGCGGACUCUUAAGUCGGUGGUGAAAUCCUGGAGCUCAACUCCAGAACUGCCUUCGAUACUGAGAGUCUCGAGUCCGAGAGAGGUGAGUGGAACUGCGAGUGUAGAGGUGAAAUUCGUAGAUAUUCGCAAGAACACCAGUGGCGAAGGCGGCUCACUGGCUCGGUACUGACGCUGAGGUGCGAAAGCGUGGGGAGCAAACAGG
rnacentral:rRNA from 1 species